CCUACGGGUGGCAGCAGUGGGGGAUAUUGCACAAUGGGGGAAACCCUGAUGCAGCGACGCCGCGUGGGUGAAGAAGCGCCUCGGCGCGUAAAGCCCUGUCAGCAGGGAAGAAAAUGACGGUACCUGAAGAAGAAGCCCCGGCUAACUACGUGCCAGCAGCCGCGGUAAUACGUAGGGGGCAAGCGUUAUCCGGAUUUACUGGGUGUAAAGGGGGCGCAGACGGCGAUGCAAGCCAGGAGUGAAAGCCCGGGGCCCAACCCCGGGACUGCUCUUGGAACUGCGUGGCUAGAGUGCAGGAGGGGCAGGCGGAAUUCCGGGUGUAGCGGUGAAAUGCGUAGAUAUCAGGAGGAACACCGGUGGCGAAGGCGGCCUGCUGGACUGCAACUGACGUUGAGGCCCGAAAGCGUGGGGAGCAAACAGGAUUAGAUACCCUAGUGUC
rnacentral:rRNA from 1 species